rnacentral:snoRNA from 1 species
AAAUUUUAACCUCCUGAGACUGAUGAUGUCUUCAAAGAAACCACUGA